rnacentral:lncRNA from 1 species
AUCUUCUUACAAAAUAUCUUGAUGCAGACUGCAGAUUUUUUCCGAGGUGACAAUCCAGAAGGCUUGGAAGCACGCAAUGAGGUAAUUGUUUACCAGGAAAACCAUUUUAAAUCAUGAGAAUAUUUUAGUAAGCUGUAUAAGUUUUAUCAGCUGAAAUCACCACCAAAUUAGCAUGGAUUCAAAGUAAUUUCUCUUGUAACUAUACUUCUUCCUCGAUAACAUAUAAUAAGGGUUAUACUGUGAUAGGCACUUGCCAUUCUAGAAGUGGAGAUAUUAAUGAUAUCUUUGUCUUGUCAUUUUCGCUAUGCCUCCAUUUUGGUAUUCUAAUAAGAUUUUCAAUUCAAAAGUCAAUUGCUUUUAUUGGACAUUUCCUUAUACCCUUAGCAAAGACUUAAUGUUUCAAGACUGUUUGCACCCCUUUCUCUCUCAUUCUGCAUAAUUUAGUAUAGAAAAAUUGGGAAAAGAAAAUUUGAGGAUUACAACCAUGACAGUACCCCAAAAGUGUUGUUUGUGAUAUUAUUCUCUGUUUAUAAUAGGGAAAUUAGAGCUUUUGGCAUCUAUGGUAUGCUACAUGCUCAAAUUUGAUUAAUGAAAAGCUGUAUGCAUGCUGUUUGCUUGUGUAGUGUAAGCAUGAUAUAUUUGUGAGAGACUUUUGUGGCUAUACAUGCAUGGCUUUUCCUAACUAAUUUCAUGCCAUUCAGUUGCCACCCUUGGAAAUAUGAAAUGUGGCUAAUUUUGCAAACUCAAGAUUUGCCUGAUCAUUAUCUUCUCAUUGGUGAAAUGGCAUGAGUCAAAAGUCUCUCGUAUGUAUGACCUUCUGCUCUAUGCGUCUAUCACAUUCAGAUCUUCCCUUGAUUUUUUUCUCCUGUUCACAGUUUCUUUGGAAAUAAUAUUUGUAAACACUGUGUAAAUCUCCUCUUUUAGUUUUUCUAGAUGUUAGUAUCUUUUGUAUAGCUGUAAAUUAGUUCUUCCCAAUCUUGUAAUCUCUAAUCCUAUAAAUAUGUAAUUUUAAUUCUUUUAAAUUCUUCAGUCCUUUCCAAAUGAUGUGAAUAUGACAUGGCUGAUUUACAAGCUGUUUAUAAAUGUCAAUUGAAGAUAUCUAGGCUUCUUACUCAUGACUUCUUUUGCUGUACUUGCAAGUUUGUGGUUGCUGAUAGCAUUGGGCAUUGCAUUUUUCUCUUAAAACUUACCUGCUGAAAGAAAUUUUUAAAUUUUGAACUUCUUUUGCUGUUUUUUGUUGUUUCUUAUUUUAAGUCAUGCCCUGAAUUGGCCUUUUUCCUUGCACAUAGUUUUAAUAUGUCACCUGCAACUAGGUAGCAGCUCUUGCAAUGGAAGAUAUGAUAUCUUGGAUGCAAGAGGGUGGACAGGUAAGUUUUAUUUUUAAUUGUGAUAAUCUGCUACAUAUAUUUUACCCUGUUCUAAUAUAAAUUUUACGUGCAUUUAGGUGGGAAUAUUUGAUGCCACAAACAGUACAAGGAAUAGGAGGAAUAUGCUUAUGAAAAUGGCUGAAGGAAAAUGCAAGGUAUGAUGAUUUUGCGGCUAGUUGAUUAUAAUUCUGCGAGGAACUGUGCAGAGUAAGACUCAAUUUGUGGCAAAUCUUCCAAUAAAAUUUUCAUAGAUGUUAUAAUAGUUUGACAUGCAUAACAUGAAAGAUGAUCGUAGAGAAGCCACUUGAGGUUUCUCCCUCUCCCGCCCUUCUUUUUUUUUUUUUUUUUGGGGGUAUUGGGGCAGCGGUCUUGUGUGUUGGGUUAAGACUUCUGAAACAGAAGCUAGAGAAAGAUUCCUACAAUGCAGACUAUAGGUUAUGUGAAUUUUCCUGGGUGUGGACCACAAUGCCUUUGAGUACAAGUGCACACCACUCAACUCUGUAAGGCCUCUUUGUUUGUUUUCGACAGCAGUGCACAAGUUAUAUUUAAUCUGUGAUGGUGGUUUGCCUUGAUAUUCUUGCUUGGCAUCUAAUUUUUUAUAUGACAUAAACCAUAGCUGAUUCUCGGUGCCUUUUAGAGUGAGAGCCUGUUAGUGUGAUUACAUGUUCUUUGCUUCAGAUUAUCUUUUUGGAGACAAUAUGCAAUGAUCAGCAAAUAAUUGAAAGAAAUAUACGCCUCAAAGUUCAGCAGAGCCCUGACUAUGCGGAAGAGUAUGACUAAACUCGUUUCAUUGUAAUGCUAACCCACUGUAAUUUUACGUCGUGAUUCAUGAUAUUUUCAGGCCGGAUUUUGAAGCUGGAUAUCAUGACUUCAAACAUCGACUUGAGAACUAUGACAAAGUAGUUUCUUGAAACAUACUAUAGCUCAAGUUUUUAUUAUUAUUUUUUUGAUGGAUGCUAUGGGUAAUAGUGUUUUAUAGGUAGCAUUUUCUGAUUUCAGGUUUAUGAACCCGUAGAAGAAGGCUCUUAUAUCAAAAUGAUUGAUAUGGUCAGUGGCCAUGGUGGACAAAUACAAGUAAAACCUCCUUUCCAUCAUGUCUAAAUCUUAUCAAAUUAGUUUUGUUCAGUAUAUUUUCUAUAAAAUCAAAUUUGAAUAUCUAUUACAUAUAUAUGCAAGGUUGCUUCUCUUGCAUGAAUGGUUGCGUAAAAUAAUAGAAAAGAGACAACAAUCUUGUAUGCAAACAAUCUCCAAUAAAUCCUUGGUGGUGCUAGAAAUUUCCUUUUAUGCUUAAUUUAUUGGCACAUACAGCAGUUCCAUACACAUCGUAUUAAUUUGCCAUUAUAUGAUUUUGGAUCUGCAGAUGAUUUCUAUCUUUUUGAUAAAACCAAAUUUAAUAAUAAAUUGAAACACGUGUGAUUAGUGAUAUAGAGAGGUCCUACGAUUUAGACAAAAAUUGAUUCUCCAAUCAAUGCUAGAGUUCAUAAAUCUUCUAAGGAAAAAACCUGAAGAAAAAACUCGAAACUGGGAGCAGUAGAUUUGAUUAAUUCUUGUAAUUUUCUUGGAUUAUCUGACUUUUUAUUGAGCCACGUUAAUUAUAUUCUUUAUCAUUCCCUCCUCCAUAAAAGAAAAUUGCCAUUAGUUUGCUAGUGGUUGCCUGAAUCUUCUUCUCCAAGAUUGAAUUAAUAAGCUGGGAACAUUGAAUGUAAGAUGUAUUCUUCAAGUAAGGUGCCAAAGUCAAUUUCGUCAAGAUUAACCCAUAAAGAGAUGGGAAGAAGGAAAUAGUUUGAUAAAGAAAAAAAGAGGUGAAGGGAAGAAAGAGCAAUGAAAUAAAGAAGAAAUUGAGGGUCUCUUUCUUGGUUUAAUAAGUAAAGGGAAUGUCGGUUAUAUUAGAGUAUAUUUCCAUGUAGAGGUUAAUAAAAUCACCGAAAAUCAGGGAUUAAUUCCAUUGUAUAGCUAAUUAUUUUCUUUCCUUAUAUAGCUUGUAAUAUUCUAUAAAUCAAAUGUAAUACACACGAGAAGAUUCAUUCUGCAAAAUAUUGUCAUGGUAUCAGAGACCUAAAAUCCUCUUUCUCGUACUUGUGAUCGUCCUCGUGUGUUCGACACCAUCCAGGGGCGAACCCACAUGGGGUCAUGUGGGGUCAAAUGACCCCACAGUUUUUUUUUUUUUUUUUUUUUUUGAAAACGGUUAUCCAUGAAUAUUUGGGAGUUCCAAUUAAUUCCUAGCCGGCUAGCCCAAUGACUCCAAUCCAUUAUCCAUAUCCAUUAAUCCAUAGUCCAUAGAUGAUAGACCUAAGACCAUAAUCCACUCUCCACUCCAUUGUCUUCCCACCGAUUUCUGAUGAGAAAAAUGUAGGAAAAUUUGAAAACUUAAUGAAUUCUAAAGUACGAAAAACGUUAUCUUUUAAGAGAUGUUUCUUUCCUAUCCAACGAAGUCACUAUUGGGGUAUGAUAGAAAAUCUCUCUUAGAAUACAAUGGAGGCGUUUGAUUCAAAUUGUGACUAUUUGAUCAAACCAAGAAGACACUCGAAAAAGAACUGAUGAUGCCAAGAGAAAGAGAGAAGAAUAUUUUUUAAUGUAUUUUGCAAACGAGAAUUCGCCCAGAAUUUAUAGAAAUUAAGGCAACCGUUUGAAUAGGUGUAUCCCUUAAAAUGAAGAACACAUAUGUUGGAAGUAGCAGUCAAAACGAACAAAUGCACCUAUUCAAAGACUUUUGAAAAUAAAAUUCUCUUUCGGGGGCGUUGCCCUUUGCGCAACAACAAACACUAGUCGAAGUGGCAAAUCAUUCGCAAAACAAAAAAAUAAAUACAUGCAAAAUGAUGAAAAAUAUCUAACAAUUUCUUCCCAAACAGCAGCGAAGCCUUCAUUUUUGACCCCACAGUCUGAAGUCUAUGGGUCCGCCCCUGGCACCAUCUCGUGUUUUUUCGGCAAUCUAUAGUUGGUAGGUGGUUGAUCGUAGUCGACGACUGUCAUCGGACCACUGUUCAUUGAAGUUCGUAUCUUCGGUGGUCGCAUCCCUUCUCUUCCUCAUUGGUUGAGUUUCUCGGCCUUCGUCUUUGUCUCUAUCUUUGUCUUGCGUCGCGCCUCCCGGUUUGCUCCGCCUAGUGGUGUUUAGUCAUAGUUUCCUUCUCAGUUCAGUUGUUGAUUCUUGGUCGAGGGAGGUUUUUGGCAUCUCGGUGUUGGGUUGGGGACUUCACAUCUCCAGUUGAAUUCUUCUUUGUAUUAACUUGGUUUCUUCUCUUUCUCCUGGACUGGGACGUGAAUUGUGGUGGUGUUGGGCUAUUGGGCUUGAUUCAUUAUUAGUUAAGCUGAAUUAUUUGAAUAGUGUUGGUCGAUUGUAUUUGGGCUACUCUUUUAAUUAAGCCCCCGUUUGAGCUCCAUUAUUUCUCAUUACAUUAAAUCAAAAUUUUCUCUAUCCCUACUUUUAACCACACAAUUUUCAAUAAAAUAAUAUUACACGUAAAUCAAAAGUUUUUCAACAACUCAUUUUAAAAAAAACACUAUUCAUCUCAUUAUAAUCUACAAAUAAUGGGGCUCAAAUGGGGGCUAAUUAUUAGUUCCAUCAUGUCAACCGAUAAGAAUUGAGUCGGUUUGUAUUCGCUUUUUUGGAAAAAAUUAUUCUUCAUGGGCUUUUCACUUUCAAUUGUUGGUUGAAGGCAAAGGCGAUCUUUGGGGAUAUAUUGAUGGAGAUCUUCCUUCUCCUGAUCAAGAGAAGGAUAAAGAAAAGUAUAUUGCUUGAAAAACCAAAGAUUCUCAACUUAUGGCCUGGAUCAUUGGAUCAGUUGAUGAGUAGAUUGUCCUUAAUCUCAGACCUUACAAGUCAGUCCGUGCUAUGUGGGAGUUCUUGAAGAAAGUCUAUACUCAAAGUAAUAAUGCUUGGCGACUUCAGUUGGAGUUUGAAUUAGCAAAUUUCUCUCAUGUUCCAUUGAAGAAUAUUAUUCAGGAUUCUCUAACCUUUGGGCCGAGUACACAAAUAUUAUCUACGCUUUGGUUUCAUUAAACAAUUUGGAGGCUAUCCAAGUUGUACACGAAGUCACCAAGAGAGAUCAAUUUCUUAUGAAAUUAUGAACUGAAUUUGAAUCCACCCGAUCUGGUCUUAUGAAUUGCGAGUCUCUUUCAUCACUGGAUGGUUGUUUGGGUGAAUUACUGAGGGAGGAGCAGUGUCUUAUCACUCGCGCUUCUUUGGAACAACAACAGAAUAAUGUAGCACCGGCUCUCAUUGCUUAUGUGGCUCAAGGAAAAUUCAAGCAUCGGGAUAUGUCUGUUUGCAAUGUUAUAGUUGUAAGGGAUUUGGUUACAUAGCUCUUCAGUGUCCUAAAAAAGUUUGCAAUUAUUGCAAGAAGUCUGACUAUGUUAUUAAGGAGUGCCCCACUUGUCCUCCACGCAACAUUGGAGCAAAUUAUAUUGCUGUUGCAACUUUAGCCUCUAAUUCUGCUUUACCACCUGCUCCUUUUCAAGUUCCAACAUUUCUCAACUCUUCUCAAACUCACAUAACUCCUGAGAUGAUUCAACAAACGAUUAUCUCUGCUUUGGGUAUCUCAGGUAAUACACCAUCUACUCGUUCUUCUUGAUUAUUAGACUCAGGUGCCUCUAACAAUAUGACUCACGAUCCUUUGUUACUUUGUAACCUUAGACCAUAUAUAGGACCUUUCAAUGUACACACUGCCGAUGGUAACAAACUUCCUUUCUUCGCUGUGGGAGAUAUAUCACUUUAACCUCUCCUCAUUUAUUAACUAAUCUUUAUCUAUCGGGUAACUUAUUGAUAAUAAUUGUAUUGUCUCUUUUUCUUCUUCUAAUUGUCAUGUACAAGAUCAGAUGUCUGGAAGGACUAUCGAAAGGGACCUAAAGUGGGACGUCUGUUUCCUAUUUCAUAAAAGCCUAUUCCAUUUUCUUCUUCCGUUUGUAAUUCUGCCACUUUAGAUAUUUUUAAGUGGCAUAACAAAUUGGGACACCCCAAUUCGAAUGUGCUACUACACUUGUUAAACUCGGGUUUGCUUGGUAAUAAAAAUGCUGCUUCAGUUAUCUCUCUCGAUUGUGCGUCAUGUAAACUUGCUAAAAGUAAAGUUCUACCAUUCCCAUCUCAUGAUUCUCGUGCUUUACAAAUUUUCGAUAUUAUUCGUAGUGAUGUAUAGGGUGUUGCACCUGUGGUAUCCUAUGCACAUUAUAAAUACUUUGUUAUCUUUAUCGAUGAUUAUAAUCGAUUUACAUGGAUUUAUUUUCUUCGUGCAAAGAGUUAUGUCUUCUUUGCUUUUCAAGUCUUUCUUGCUCUCAUUGACAAUCAAUUUUAUUCCUCGAUCAAAGUCUUAAGAUCUGAUUCAGGAGGUGAAUGAAUGUCUAGAGCUUUUCAAUCUUUCUUACAACUCAAAUGUAUCAUUUCUCAGCGAUCUUACCCUUCUACGCCUCAACAAAACGGCGUGGCAGAACGCAAGAAUCGUUAUGUUCUUGAUAUGGUUCGAGCUCUUUUGAUUGAGUAUUCUGUUCCCUCUCGUUUUUUGUGUGAAGCAUUGUAUACCGCUGUGCAUCUCAUAAACCGAUUACAUUCUCUCACUUUUAGUAAUGUUUCUUCAUUUUUGAAAAUAUUUGGUUAUCAUCCCACAUAUUCUCAUCUCCGUCCCUUUAAGUCUGUAUGUUUUGUUCAUUUGCAAUCACAUGAAAGGACAAAACUUACUCUUCAAUCUGUCAAGUGUGCCUUUCUGGGAUAUGGUGGGACUAAAAAAUGGUACAUCUGUUAUGAUCCUACAUCACAACGAAUUCGUAUUUUUCAUAAUAUUAUUAUUUUUGAAAAAUAAUCAUUCUUCAGUUCAGAAACUGUAGUUUCUCCUCCUGUGUUCUCUAUGUUACCUGAUUUCCCUGCAGAACCAUCUCGGUACAAGCCAGCCUUGUUUACGCUCGUAGGCAUGUUGCAUCCAUCACUAAUCUAGAUCUUGUUUCUCCGAUAAUGGUCCUUCCAAGCUUCUCUGAUCCUCUACCUACGACUCCUGAUCCUGCACAUGAUGAUGUGCCGCCUCCCGUCCCUCUUCGUCUUACUUCUCAUGUUUCUCGACCACCCAAUAGGUAUGGUUUCUCCUUCCGUAGUUCUAUGUCCGCUACACUUAAUUCGAUUUCUAUUCCUUCUUCCCAUAGACAAGCUAUAGAACAUGAAUGUUGGUAACAGGCUCGAGGCUCUUCAGGCCAAUCAGACCUAGGAUAUUAAGUGUGAAACCCAUUGGAAGUAAAUGAGUAUAUUUCGUUAAACUUCGUUCUGAUGAUUCUCUUGAGUGUUAUAAGGCUCGAUUAGUUGUUUUGGGUAAUCAUCGGGAGUAUGAUGAGACAUUUGCUCUUGUAGCAAAAAUGACCACAGUUCAUCUCUUGUUAUUGCUUGCCACUUCCCAAUCAUGGUUUUUACAUCAAAUGGAUGUGAAGAACGCAUUCCUACAUGUACACCUCAAGGAGGAUAUUUAUAUGAAACUUCCAUCUGGUAUGCCUCUUCCCUUAAUUGACUCUAGAUAUUGGCUAAAAUGCUUUUUGUAUGAUCUUAAGUAGGCUCAUUGGGCAUGGUUGACAAAUUUCGUUGUACUCUUUUGGAUUUCUUAUUUACCCGAAGUCAGUAUGAGGCAUCUCUGUUUUUCACAAGAGUAUUGUUGGCAUUGUCUUUUUAUUGGUAGAUGUGGAUGAUAUUAUUAUCUCUGGAUUUGAUCACAGUCUUAUCCAGAAACUUCAGCAGCAUCUUCACUCGAUUUUUCACAUGAAAGACCUUGUUCAACUUACUUUCUUGGUUUAGAGGUACAUACCACAUCAGAUGGUAUCUUCUUGAAUCAACAUGAGUAUAUUUGAAGCCUCCUCAGUUGAUACGCUGUUGGAGCAUAAUGCCAAAUAUCGAGAAGAUGGAGGAGAUUUUCUUCCAGAUUCUACUCUUUAUUGGAAGUUUGUAGGUAGUCUCAUCCAUCUCACCAUCACACGUCCGGAUAUUUCCUAUGCGGUUCAUACUAUAAGCAAGUUUAUGGACGCUCCUCAUCAUCUUCAUUUGGUAGCCGUUCGUCGCAUUAUUUGCUAUCUUAUUGAAACUCCUCAUCGUGAUCUUUUCUUCCCUGGGGGGUCAUCUCUUGAGCUCACAGCUUAUAGUGAUGCUGAUUGUGCUGGUUGUCCUGAUUCCCGUCGAUCUGCUAUUGGAUGGUAUAUUUUUUUUUGGUGAUGCUCUCAUUUCUUGGAAAUGUAAUAAACAAGAAUGUGUUUCUAAGUCUUCCACUGAGGCUGAAUACCGAGCUAUAUCCGCUGCAUGUUUUGAGGUUACGUGGUUGCAUGGUCUUUUGGCAGAACUUGGUAUCUCUCAAUCAUAGUUUACACCCUUUCAUGGUAACAACAUUAGUGCUAUUUAGAUUGCGGCCAAUCCUGUGUAACAUGAACGCAGCAUAUAGAAGUCGAUUGUCAUUACAUCCGGAAUGCCUAUGAUUCCAAAGUCAUAUCUCUUCCCCAUGUUUCCACUUCACAACAGGGUACACAUAUCUUCACCAAAUUGUUAACUCGCCUCCUUCAUAACUUUCUCGUGAGUAAAUUGAUGCUUGUGGACUCCCCAACAUCAAUCGGGUCCGGGGGCGGGGGUUGUCAUUAGAGUAUAUUUCCAUGUAUAGGUUAAUAAAUCACAAACAAUCAGGAUUAAUUCCAUUGUAUAGCUAAUUAUUUUCUUUCCUUAAUAGCUUGUAAUAUUUUUAAAUCAAAUGUAAUACACACGAGAAGAUUCAUUCUGCAAAAUAUUGUCACGUUAAUCCCACAAUAAAAAAGGACCUAAAUAUGGAAUUUAGUUUUCGACCAGUUCUUGCUUUGGACUUUAUUUUAUCAAAUUUCCUUUCUAUGUAUUUCAAUUAGAUGAUGUUAAGUAGUUGAGCUUUGCAUUCUACCUUCCUAGUUUGUUAAGGACCUCAAUUUUUGGCAUUCAUCCAGUCUGAUUUUUGUUACAUUCUUCCUCACAUGCAUUUAUAUUUCAUUAUUUCAGGAUGAGAAUAAAUUAGAUUGGGAUAUCAGUAAAAGCCAUUUGAUCAAUGGUCCGUAGAUUGUGUAACUAUUACUUAACUUCAGCUACAGUCUGUAGGUUGUAUAAUUGUUAAAAAAACAUGUGAUUCUACUUCUAUAGAUUAUUAAAAUUAUGAUCUUUUUUUAAUGUUAUGGUCUAUUUUUGCUUCGGUAAAAAGUUGAAGCUACUGUUUGAACAAUAAUUUUAGAGUUUUGUUCUGAAUUUCUUGGCUUCCCAUUGCUUUUCUCCUUUUCCUUUCAAUGGAAAACAUCAUUGCUGGUUGCUACCUAAUUGUGAAUAUUUGUGAAACAGGUGAACAACAUUAGUGGCUAUCUUCCUGGUCGUAUAGUAUUUUUCCUGGUACGUCCUAUUUCAUUGUGUCGUAACACUUACCUACUCGUCUUGCAAUAUUACAUGGCUGUUUCUAUAGAUAUACCAUUCUAUCAUUAUCAAUGUCAAGUGUGAACAGAAGCACUUUUAACGAUGUAUAAGGUUCUAACCCAGAAAAGUUCAUGUAAGAGACCUUGGUCCACGUAGUACUCUUGAGGAGAUUUCCUUUGUCCCAAUCUAACUGGUGAUAAAAGUGCCAGGGAUUACAUAAAAUUAAAAAUGAUAAAUUUCAACUGUUCCCGAUGACCCAGGGUACUGUAUAUAUGUUUUCUUCUCAAUGUUGUUGCAAUUAGCAUAUUUGGAUCAUUAGGUUUCUCUAAACCUGUUUCUUCAAGCUGUAUGCUGCUUUCCCAUCUAUAUUUUGAACUUGCGACUUAUUAUAUAUGUAAAAGGAUCUGGAGGAAAAGGCUUUGCUCUAUAACAUUCCUCUCUUAUGAUCUAAGUAUUAUUUUUUCUCUUCAUCCGGCUAUUUAUUCAUUUAUUUUUUAUUUUGCCCCUAUUUGGGCCCCAUCCUUUAAAAAACAAUUUUCUUCAAAUUCAUUUUCAACCAUAUAUUCUCCCAAUAAAUAAUUUUGCACAUAAAUUCAAUUUUUUUUUUCUAUUUUUUAACUGCACGUUCUCUAAAAAAAAAAAUCACUUUUUGAUAAUCUAUUCUCAAAAAAUGGGGCUCCCCCCCCCCCCCCUCCCCCUUUCUUUUGCACUGCUUUAAAUAUAUUACAUAAAGAUAUGACUUCAGAUUGUGUUUCUUUCCAUUUUGCAGGUGAAUACACAUCUGACGCCAAGACCAAUUCUGCUUACUAGGCAUGGAGAGAGCCGUGACAAUGUUAGAGGCAGAAUUGGUGGUGACAGUGUGUUGAGGUUCUUUUUUAUUUUAUCAUGUUAAAUUUUCUACUAAAUUUGGGUAGAAUAUUUGAGUCUCUGAUUUAAUAUCCAUAAUUCUCUCGUUGAAAAUAAAGAUUCAUCUUUGGUAAAUUUAUUCUCAUUCAGCCAAUGCAAAAAUCCAAGAGCUGCAAACAGAAUUUCAAGGUUAAGGACCCAUGUUAAUGCCAUUAAGGGGUGGUGGGAUGUCAAUAUAUCUCAACAACCCUUCAUCAUACUUUUAGAUGUCCUGGAAUUCCACUAGCACGAAACUGCAAAAAAUUUGACUAGCUAUUGACUAAUAAUUUUUUGUUGUAUUUAUUUUGAGUUGACAAUUUCUGUGAUAUAAACUCAUUUCCUUCACUAUUACCUAAUCUAAAGUGCUAAUACCCUUUGACAGUGAUACUGGAGAGCUUUAUGCAAAGAAACUUGCUAAUUUUGUUGAAAAGCGUCUGAAAAACGAAAGGGCUGCUUCUGUAAGUUUCACCAAUUUAAAAAAUUUGAGUUCAAAGAUAGAAUUAGAUGUGUGACAAAAUCUUCUAUACAGUUCUUCUGAAUUUUAAGUUCAGAAAUUUUCUUUGCCCUGUCGUACAGUGUUGAUUGGAUAGUCUGUCUGUUGUUAUAUUAAAAAAAUAAAAAAAUAAAAAAAAAAAAUCUAAUGAAGUAUUCGCUGAGAAAACAUCUUAACCUCAUAGGUGGCCUUAUUCGAUUUGGCUAGCUGGAAAUCACAAAUUUAUGGUUAACUUGUUAAUAGUCUCUUAGAUCUGAUCCAUUUGUUGCUAAAAUAGUGCAUUUUUAUGUAUUUUUGGCUUAGAUAUAGAUCAUGUCAAUUUCUUUAUCUGUAAUGUUGGCACUGAUGAUGUUUGAAAAUGUAGAGUUCUCUCUUUUAAAGGCUUCAAGGAUAGAGGGUGUGGGCAAGAUUAAAGGUUUUUUUUUUGAUAGGUGGGUCAAGAUUAUAAAUUAGGGGCCGUAUUUCAGUUUCCCUAAUAUUAACCUUAUCUGUUCUGCAAGAUUUUUUCUUUCUUGAAAUAAGCCAAUCGUUUAUUCUGCUUGAAUUCAUGUCUGGGUGGAUAUAAGGUCAUGUCACCAGUCACCACCGUAUCAUGGUUUAUGAGAUUAUAUGCCUAUUGCUUCACCUCUAGAAGGCAAGGUGUUAAUUAGCAUCAAUAUCACUGCUGAAAAUAUAGAAUGGUUCUAAAUUAAUUCUUCUUUAAUAAAUAUUGCUGGUCAUUGUACGCUAGUCUUUAAUUCAAACAUCCAUUUGAUGAAUAAAAAAUUUGUCUCAAUGUGUUCUCUGAUAUUGAAUUGUAGCAUUUUUUUUCUGUAAAAAAUUAUAAUUCCUUGAACAUCCACUGGAGCUAACAUCGCAUAAAAUUACCAGAUUAAGUUCAUUGUUUUUGACAUCAUGUUUCUCCUAUGGCUUAGAUAUGGACCAGCACGUUGCAGAGAUCAAUUAUAACUGCUAGCCCAAUAGUUGGAUUCCCGAAGGUAGGUUGUGUUAACUGCUAUACGUGAUUAAAACAUAAAUUACAGUAUUCAGUAGUGAUGCUCCCACCAUUGUUUUAGUUGACUACUGAAUCUAUUUGUAAUUCCAUCUUCACUUGUAGAUACAAUGGCGUGCACUGGAUGAGAUUAAUGCUGGUGCAUGUGAUGGGAUGAAUUAUGAAGAAAUAAAGAGAAAUAUGCCCGAGGAAUAUCAGUAUGCUUCAGUUCUUUGAACUUUAUUUUAUCCUUUUAGUAUAUUUGUGCAUAGAUGAAGCAUAGUAUUAUCUGACUUGAAAGUGCGAUAUUCGUGAUGGAUGUUUGACCCAUUGAUUAUUUUGAUCACUGUUUCAUUGUCA